AUAAGCCAAGAAUUUCCUUUAAAAUUUCAGAUAACUGAUUCUGGACAUAUAUUUCCUUUUCUACACAUCGGUAAAAAUCAAAGAAAUGCUGGACCAUUUGGGAUGGGAUGGAUACAAUCAAAAAGACAGCUGCAAGAUCUCAUUUAGACUCUUUGAAGGAACGUGGCUUUGAGGCAAUUUGCAUGUCCUCAUAAGGUCCAUGGACAAGCCUAUCCUUAUGUUCC
rnacentral:lncRNA from 1 species